GAACGGGUGAGUAACACGUGGGCAACCUGCCCAAAAGAGGGGGAUAACACUUGGAAACAGGUGCUAAUACCGCAUAACCAUAGUUACCGCAUGGUAACUAUGUAAAAGGUGGCUAUGCUACCGCUUUUGGAUGGGCCCGCGGCGCAUUAGCUAGUUGGUGGGGUAAAGGCUUACCAAGGCAAUGAUGCGUAGCCGAACUGAGAGGUUGAUCGGCCACAUUGGGACUGAGACACGGCCCAAACUCCUACGGGAGGCAGCAGUAGGGAAUCUUCCACAAUGGGCGAAAGCCUGAUGGAGCAACGCCGCGUGGGUGAAGAAGGUCUUCGGAUCGUAAAACCCUGUUGUUAGAGAAGAAAGUGCGUGAGAGUAACUGUUCACGUUUCGACGGUAUCUAACCAGAAAGCCACGGCUAACUACGUGCCAGCAGCCGCGGUAAUACGUAGGUGGCAAGCGUUAUCCGGAUUUAUUGGGCGUAAAGGGAACGCAGGCGGUCUUUUAAGUCUGAUGUGAAAGCCU
rnacentral:rRNA from 1 species